CCUCAGCCUCCCAAGUAUCUGGGACUAUAGGUGUGUGCCACCACGCCUGGCCCCUUCUUCUUUUAAAGGUUCAAAUCACCAGAGGAAUGUGGAGGGAACUGAAGGAUUCAAAUGAGGUUUGGGACCUUACAGUGACUCUAGAAAUGAAGCUAGAGCCUAGAGCCUGUGCCUACAUGCAACUCACCAAGUCAUUGCUCCUAUAAACCUAUCAGGAAUGUGCUGCUCAGCCCGAGCAUCCUGAGGGGUGGUGACCAGAAUUUUGUGUGGCUGGGGACCCUGGAGAGGGUCUUCUGUUUCUGCUGCAGCUGCCCUCACAGGGAACCUUACUAAGACCAAGCAAGGUUUCCUUCCAGCUCUUUGGGCUGGCUCAAACCUGACUUCAGUAACAGCACGGGAGUCUUGGGCAUGCAGCAGGAAGUGGGGUGGGGAUGACAGGCCCUGGGAGUCUGUAAGAAACUUGUCCUGGCCCCAUUGUAGGCUCAGAGCCAGGUAAAAUAGAGAAGAUCUGAGACAACCAGCUCCACUUUCCCGUGAGAGAGGAGGUGGGGAAGGGGUGAUCAGUGGAAGUCAAGUAUCCUUUUUUCCUUUAAGUAACAUAUGUGCUAAGUGGCCAGGAAUGAGGAAAGGGCUGCAUCCAUCCUGUCUGCCUCCCGUCCAAUGCAGAGGAAAGCCUGCACCCCUCCUUGGUCUGUCUCAAUCUGCAUUUUGCCAGUAAGACUUGCUGGGCCUCCACUCGGGUUAAGGUCGAUGAAUAAAACCAGAGAACUUAAAAAGAGGAAACAUCAACACUGAAGAGGUCAUGGGGAAGAGGAAGGAAAGUACGGUAAAUAUUCAGCAAUCGUUUUCAUUUCCCUGUCUCAUGGAAAAAGCUCUGGGCACAUUCCCUAAGGAUGGGAUGGAAACCACUGGUCUUUGAUGAAAGAUGGGCAAGUGGAGACACUUAGCUACAGGCUCAGCCUAUUUCUCUAGGAAUUAGACAUCUGGGUGAAAAUCCCUGCCAAAAAAUCCAUGAAGUUUCCAGAUGUUUCCAACUACCCAUACAUUGGGUGGUAUAUAGACCCCGCUGCUUUCUCUAGUGAGAAGUAAAAUAAUUUUCAACAAUGUUUCUGAGUACUGGGUUUUCCAUUCUGGUUUUGACAGUUUCUCUGUAGAGUCACUUGACUUCCAGAAGACACCAUCAUCUCCAGUGUUGGGAUGGCUCAGGAACCUAACGUACCUCCCAGAGCUCUGCUCAGCCACAAGAGGAGACUGACCUCUCACACGUGUCCCAAAAGAAUUAAGAACCCACACUCUAUCAUCAAACCACCAGGCAGAUGCCAUCCCCAGGACAAUGCAGCCCAUCCAAGGUUCCCCAUCAAGCACUGCUGACCUUACAGCCUUUGAUCCAUGAGGGUUAAUGAAACCUCUUCCCUUUUUAGUUUUACCCAACCCUGCUUGUUGUAAAUAUUUUCUUGUCAAGAACAUGAGAGGAGCAGCCUAAAAAUAAUGUGGGUUGCCAGUGAGCCCCAGUCCUCAGCAGUUUCCAAUGUGCUCUUUUGCUGUCUGCUGCCCUCCAUCCACAAUGAGAUGAUUUUUCAUAUACUCAUCACAUUUGUGUUAUGUCAUGCCAUAUUAUAUUUUAGAACAUUGCUCAAAAAUGGGUUUGAUGGAUAACUUUUGUUCUUAGAAACUAUGACUUUUCUAUUCUCCACAACCCCCUAAUCAGGCACCUGCUAUCAAUUUGACUUGCAUGUAACCAGAAUUCUCAGAACUUGUUGGUUGCUCCUGCUGGCUCCUGUCCAUGUAUGCCAAGAGGACAUGAUGGCAAGCGGAUUAGAACCAGAGAUGAUGAUCCUUCCAUCCCCCUCUGGGCAUCCUCCUCAGCUUCAAGAGCUACAGAUGCAAGAGCAUGAUGGGCAUCCUCCUCAGCUUCAAGAGCUACAGAUGCAAAAGCAUGAAUGAAGUCCUGCCUGUGUUGCCUGACUUUGUCACUGAGACCAGAAGGAGACCCCAUGCGGAAUCAACUAGCAAACACAAACAGCUGCCUGGUGCUGCAGGGCAAACAGACUUGAUGAUGAAAUUCUCAAAAUUCAUCAUUGCCUAAUUUUUUUUUUUUUUAGAAAUAUGCACCAUUUUGUUAGCCAAAGUGCAGAUUUUCGUAGAGAAAACAGGAAAAUUAUUGAUAUGGGUACACUCACAACGUGCUAAAUACAAACUAAACAGAUAACCCAUAAGGCAGAAAAUAUAACCCCUCCCCGACUCCAUUUCUGCCUUUGUCCCUUUCCAUCUGCAUGGCUGUCCCCCACCCUGGCAAGUGCUCUGCCUCUCCCAAGAGCAUUUUUGGGGGUCCAGCCAGGUAGCACCACCUUCCUUAUCCCUUAGUCCUUCCUGCUGCUCAGAGAGGAAUUUUCUGGAGCUGGGCUCUAAUCAGUGCACAGAGGUGGGAUGGAGAUGAGUUUUUUUAAAAUAUAAUUUAUCACGCAUUUGCACCCAUUGUUCUCCCAACCAGAUUGCAAACCACUAGGAUACAGGGUCAUGUCUAGUUUCUCUUGCCUGCCCUCCCCUCCCCAGCUCCCAAAUUAGACAUGGCAGAGUAUCUUUACUACACUGGGCUGGCAAUUCAUGUUUUACACUGAAUAAGUAGAUAAGGCAGAAUUGUCUAUUUUUAUGUUGUUUUUUGGCAGGUCCCUGCCA
rnacentral:lncRNA from 1 species